UACGUAGGGCGCAAGCGUUGUCCGGAAUUAUUGGGCGUAAAGAGCUCGUAGGCGGCUUGUCACGUCGAUUGUGAAAGCCCGAGGCUUAACCUCGGGUCUGCAGUCGAUACGGGCUAGCUAGAGUGUGGUAGGGGGAGAUCGGAAUUCCUGGUGUAGCGGUGAAAUGCGCAGAUAUCAGGAGGAACACCGGUGGCGAAGGCGGAUCUCUGGGCAUUACCUGACGCUGAGGAGCGAAAGUGUGGGGAGCGAACAGG
rnacentral:rRNA from 1 species